rnacentral:tRNA from 1 species
GCGGGGGUGGCAGAGCGGCCAAAUGCGCAAGGUUGAGGGCCUUGUUCCUUAGUGGAUGCGCGAGUUCGAAUCUCGUCCUCCGCA